rnacentral:rRNA from 1 species
GAUGAACGCUGGCGGCGUGCCUAAUACAUGCCAGUCGAGCGAACGGACGAGAAGCUUGCUUCUCUGAUGUUAGCGGCGGACGGGUGAGUAACACGUGGAUAACCUACCUAUAAGACUGGGAUAACUUCGUGAAACCGGAGCUAAUACCGGAUAAUAUUUUGAACCGCAUGGUUCAAAAGUGAAAGACGGUCUUGCUGUCACUUAUAGAUGGAUCCGCGCUGCAUUAGCUAGUUGGUAAGGUAACGGCUUACCAAGGCAACGAUGCAUAGCCGACCUGAGAGGGUGAUCGGCCACACUGGAACUGAGACACGGUCCAGACUCCUACGGGAGGCAGCAGUAGGGAAUCUUCUGCAAUGGGCGAAAGCCUGACGGAGCAACGCCGCGUGAGUGAUGAAGGUCUUCGGAUCGUAAAACUCUGUUAUUAGGGAAGAACAUAUGUGUAAGUAACUGUGCACAUCUUGACGGUACCUAAUCAGAAAGCCACGGCUAACUACGUG